GGAGUUUGGACCGUGUCGCAGUUCCAAUGUGGGGGACCUUCCUCUCAGAACCCCUAUCCAUCAUCGGCUAGGUGGGCCGUUACCCCGCCUACUACCUAAUGGAACGCAUCCCCACCCCUUACCGAUGAAUCUUUCGUGCGCAAAAAUAGCUUUCCGUGCACCACAUCGGGGAUUACUCUCAGUUUCCCGAGGCUAUACCCGAGUAAGGGAAAGGUUGGAUACGUGUUACUCACCCGUCUGCCGCUAAACACCCGAAAGUGUUCCGCUCGACUUGCAUGUGUUAAGCCUGUAGCUAGCGUUCAUC
rnacentral:rRNA from 1 species